UACAGCCAGCAGUGACACAUGAAGGAGAUCACUGUGGCCGAUCCUGCCUGCGGCAUCCAGAACAGGCGAGACUUUCUCUCAGCUUCCCCAAGGGCCGGACGCCAAGCGGGAGCAUGGAAGAGAAAGAAAGAGAGAGAAACAUCGAUGUGACAGAGAAACAGAUCAGUUGCCUCCCAUAUGCACCCUGACUGGGAAUCAAACCCACAACCUAGAUUAACCAGGUGCACCCUAAAUCCAAAGACAAUUGUCCUUAUAAGAAACAGACAAGGAAGGGACAAGGACACAGAGGAGAAGGCCGUGUGAAGACAGGGGCAGAGAGUGAAGUGACG